ensembl:lncRNA
CGUUGUCCGGCAUGUGCUGAAGUCUGGGUGCUUUGUUUGUUGCUCGCCAGUACCGUGCGGGUGAGCAAACCGUACUAAGGAGAAGGUUAGACCUGAACCAGACCUGGUGAGCCCAGGGUCCUACCUGCUGGUGCACAGGUGCAUUGGGCCAAGAAGGCUGAACUGGUGACACGUAGUGGUCAGCAGGACAGCCACUGCUCUUUUUCUCCGACCAUAGUUUCAGUUUAGAUUGUGCUCAAGUGCCUCCAUCUUGCUCCCUCUAUUUAUAGAGAUAAAACACUGAUAUUGUGCCCUUUUGAUGACCGUUGCUUCCCCCUUCCCCACUUCUAUUGUGUU